ensembl:lncRNA
AGCUGACUCGCCUCCUUCGUCACUCUGCAGUUCUCCUCUUUAUCACCUGCUUGACUCCAGAUGCUUUUCUCUUCGUGGCCUCUGCUCAUUUCCGACCUCUCAGGCCUUGUGUCUGCCUCUUCUGUGCAUAUGCUCCUGGACUGAGCGCACUCUGUACUUCUUGUGUCAUUCCUCUGGGAAAUAAUCAAAGAAAAAGAUGUUGAUGAAAAAGGUAGUGCUUGAUUUGGGGGACUGGUUUUCACUGCUUGUCAUUUAUCUUAAAAAAAAAAGUGAAAUUCUUGCCUAAAGGCUUUAAAGGUGUCUCUGAAAUGUGUGCAGCUCUCUCAUUCAUGGAGGAAGGCAGCUAAUGUUUCUAUGUUCAUGGGCUACAAAAACGCAAAAUUAGACUUUUCGUUGUCACCUUUAUUUAAUAUAAUUGCAUUAGUUAAUGUAGAGAUUGACUUAAAGAUGCUAAAAUAUGCAUUUAGACUUUUUCAGGAGUGCUUAGGAUUUCUUUGCAGGAAGUCAUGAUAUCUAUAUGCAGGUGGGACUGUGAGCGUGUCAUUAGAAGUGUUGCUGGUUUGUUUUGGUUUUUAGAUUUGCAAAGAAAAACAGCCACGCACGUGCUGCCAUGUUUUAAGUAAAACAUGAGCAUGUGAGUGGUUUCCAGUCAGUUUGUUAUUUUUAAGUUUCUAUAAAUAUUUCUUUAGUUUUUCAACAUCCAGUCAGGUUCAGGUUAGUUUGUAUCCAUAGGUUUUUUUUAGACCUUUAUAAAAGUUGUUUUAUUUGCAAGUUCUACAAGUAACCCUAAAAAUGUAACUUGAAUAAGUUUCUGUUCUUUACAAAGUGUGACGACAAACGAAAGAACAAAACAGAUUCAAUAAAUGCAAAACAGAUAAGAUGCAGUUCUGUCAGCGUGGCUAUAAAAAGUGAUCAUUUUUAUAGAAGUAAUAACUCUUAAUGUAGUGAUAAACAUAAAAAAGCUCUUGUUAUGAGAGUAAUGUCUAAGUUCGUUUUUAUCAUGCUCAGC